UCGGGCAAAGGGGGUCCUACCAUGCAGUCGAGGGGUAGAGGAAGCUUGCUUCCUUGAGACCGGCGCACGGGUGCGUAACGCGUAUGCAAUCUGCCUUGUACUGAGGGAUAGCCCAGAGAAAUUUGGAUUAAUACCUCAUAGCAUUAUGAAAUCGCAUGGUUUUAUAAUUAAAGUUCCAACGGUACAAGAUGAGCAUGCGUCCCAUUAGUUAGUUGGUAAGGUAACGGCUUACCAAGACGAUGAUGGGUAGGGGUCCUGAGAGGGAGAUCCCCCACACUGGUACUGAGACACGGACCAGACUCCUACGGGAGGCAGCAGUGAGGAAUAUUGGUCAAUGGACGCAAGUCUGAACCAGCCAUGCCGCGUGCAGGAUGAAGCAUCUAUGGUGUGUAAACUGCUUUUGUACGGGAAGAAACACUCCUACGUGUAGGAGCUUGACGGUACCGUAAGAAUAAGGAUCGGCUAACUCCGUGCCAGCAGCCGCGGUAAUACGGAGGAUCCAAGCGUUAUCCGGAAUCAUUGGGUUUAAAGGGUCCGUAGGCGGCUUUAUAAGUCAGUGGUGAAAGCCCAUCGCUUAACGAUGGAACGGCCAUUGAUACUGUAGAGCUUGAAUUACUUGGAAGUAACUAGAAUAUGUAGUGUAGCGGUGAAAUGCUUAGAUAUUACAUGGAAUACCAAUUGCGAAGGCAGGUUACUACAAGUGGAUUGACGCUGAUGGACGAAAGCGUGGGGAGCGAACAGGAUUAGAUACCCUGGUAGUCCACGCCGUAAACGAUGGAUACUAGCUGUUCGGAGCAUUCUGAGUGGCUAAGCGAAAGUGAU
rnacentral:rRNA from 1 species